CCCUACAGAUACAACAGGUCCUACAGAUACAACACAGCACCCUACAGAUACACAGCACCCUACAGAUACAACAGCUCCCUACAGAAACAACAACGACUUACAGAUCAACAGCACCUACAGAUACACACUCCCUACAGAUACACAAGCUUCCUACAGAUACAACAGCACCCUACAGAUACAACAGCACCCUACAGAUACAACAGGUCCCUACAGAUACAACAGCACCCUGACAGAUACAACAGGUCCCUACAAGAUACACAGCACUCUACAGAUACAACAGGUCCCUACAGAUACUACAGCUCCCUACAGAUACAACAGCUCCCUACAGAUACAACAGGUCCCUACAGACUUACAGGCAGAUCCCUAAUUACAUAGUAUCCAUGUUUAGGUAAAUGGAAAAUGUGUCUAAGAGGAAUGCCAUUCUGAGAUUACAACACACAACAUGAAGUGCAGACGGAGCCCCGUCAGAGCAUUAAAACCUGUUUAGUUAGAGAACACAACACAGUCCUGAAUUAUUCACCUUCUUCUCCCUGUCUUACUCACACACACUAACACAUGCCUCAACACGGCUGAUGGGAGGAUUGACUUAGCCAUGCCAAACUCCUGCAUUUCGGUAUAGAACUAAACACCACACAUAUAUUGACACACGUGGCACACACACACACCUGACAGUGUGGACACACGUGGCACACACACACACACCUGACAGUGUGGACACACAUGGCACACACACACACCUGACAGUGUGGAAUGUAAGUAGCGCUUCAUCCCUGUCCAUGAGCCGUACACACCAUGCAAUCAGGCCAGAGCCGAAACGCUUGACGUGACAUCUUUGCCUCUCCAAAACCUGGUCUUAUGAGUCAUGUCCAAACAAGUCCUAUGGAGAACUAGCGGGAACAGCUGUGUGGUGUACACAUGUACUUUACUUUAACAAUGACAGACUCCAUCAAUGGUGUGUAAAAUACCAAUCUAUAUGUGUAGAUGUGGAAACACUAUUCACUCAGGGCAAUGCUUGUCUUGGGCCCUCCUGGUGGGUAACAAGUGUUGCUAUUCUUAAAAGCUAUGGUUACUAUUUGGAUUAUGAGGUGUGGUUCAAGUGAUGGUGUUAUAGUGGAGGAAUGUGACAAGCCUUACCGGGAGUGGGAGGACUGACUGCAAUGUAAAAACACUGUGACGGUGUGACUGAUACCUCUCUCUGGUUGCUGCGAGCUUCACUCCUCCCCUUCCUGGAUCCAGCCUGACCCAGGUCCUCUCCCACAGCACUCCUCCCAUCCUUCCCUGGCUCAUUGUAGCAGCUGAAAAGCAGGAAAAUCAAGCCUGUCAUUCAACAAACAGCCAUGGUGUCCUCCAUGGCCCC
rnacentral:lncRNA from 1 species